rnacentral:rRNA from 1 species
AUUGAACGCUGGCGGCAGGCCUAACACAUGCAAGUCGAACGAGUGGCGGACGGGUGAGUAAUGUCUGGGAAACUGCCUGAUGGAGGGGGAUAACUACUGGAAACGGUAGCUAAUACCGCAUACCAUCAGAUGUGCCCAAAUGGGAUUAGCUAGGUGGUGGGGUAACGGCUCACCAAGGCGAUGCUCCCUAGCUGGUCUGCGAGGAUGACCAGCCACACUGGAACUGGGACACGGUCCAGACUCCUACGGGAGGCAGCAGUGGGGAAUAUUGCACAAUGGGCGCAAGCCUGAUGCAGCCAUGCCGCGUGUAUGAAGAAGGCCUGCGGGUUGUAAAGUACUUUCAGCGGGGAGGCGUUACCCGCAGAAGAAGCACCGGCUAACUCCGUGCCAGCCGCCGCGGUAAUUC